GGCUUAAUGUUUAUGUUGCCCCCCCCCCCCCCCCCCCUCCAUUCUGUUCGAUUUUGCCCUCUUGCCCUCUGGAACUCUGAAAUCCCUCUCAAGCCUUCUCUAAUUUAUUUGGUUUAUGUACAAAAAUUAUGUAAAUACAGUAAACCCUUGUUUUAACGGACCCACAUAAUACAUUUUGGAUGCAAUGAACGGACCUGCUGUCCCAUCUCCAGCUCCCACCGUUUCCCCAGCCGUUUUAAACCUCGGCUUCCGACCUACUCCCUGACUCACAAGCUGCACCAGCGAGCCAUUUUUCGGCCAUUGUGCAGUCCGGUGACACGGCUGUUGUUGCGGCUCAUGUUGUAGCCCCUGGGGACAAUUCUUACUUCAGGCUACUGACAGAAUGCGCUCCUGAAGUCACCGUGGUCUCUCCCCUCUCACCUGCUGUCACUUCUAAGGUUUGUGGCGCUCCAUGGUGCUUUAGAGACACAGGAGAGAUGCUUUUAACGGAAGAGGGGUGUCUUGUCGUUUCCUCGCGUUUAUCACCUGACCUCUGUUGGUCUGGAAAAACGGAUAAUCAAGAAAGGCUCUGGAACCGAGGAUGCUGGAAAAUCGGUGUUCAACCUAUAAAUCAAUCUAUUUGCAGGCAAACAGUCUAAUAGUUUGUAUUCAGUAGUUCAAUCCUGUACUGAAGGUGAGGUGAUGUGGAUUUAUGAGGUUCUCUGCUACUACCUCAGAGAACUCCUGCUGCAUCAGCUGAUGUAAGAUGGCAUAGGCUAAGAGCCCUGAAAAUAGCAAUAAAUUGUGAUAACAACAUUAGCAAGAAGCUUGAUCCCUGUUCUGGAUGCUUUAUUUUGAAUAAAUUACUGAACAUAA